GCCGGAGUAGCUCAGCUGGUAGAGCACCGCUCUUGUAAAGCGGACGUCGUGGGUUCGAGUCCCACCUCCGGCU
rnacentral:tRNA from 1 species